rnacentral:rRNA from 1 species
AGUAAACGGCGGCCGUAACUAUAACGGUCCUAAGGUAGCGAAAUUCCUUGUCGGGCAAGUUCCGACCUGCACGAAUGGCAUAACGAUGGCCACACUGUCUCCUCCUGAGACUCAGUGAAGUUGAAGUGUUUGUGAUGAUGCAAUCUCCCCGCGGCUAGACGGAAAGACCCCAUGAACCUUUACUGUAGCUUUGCAUUGGACUUUGAACCGAUCUGUGUAGGAUAGGCGGGAGCCUGUGAAACCACAACGCCAGUUGUGGUGGAGGCGUCCUUGAAAUACCGCCCUGAUUUGUUUGAGGUUCUAACCUGGGACAGUCAUCCUGUCCGGGGACCGUGCAUGGUAGGCAGUUUGACUGGGGCGGUCUCCUCCUAAAGGGUAACGGAGGAGUGCGAAGGUACGCUAGGUACGGUCGGAAAUCGUGCUGAUAGUGCAAUGGCAAAAGCGUGCUUGACUGCGAGACCCACAAGUCGAGCAGAUACGAAAGUAGGUCAUAGUGAUCCGGUGGCUCUGUAUGGAAGGGCCAUCGCUCAACGGAUAAAAGGUACUCUGGGGAUAACAGGCUGAUACCGCCCAAGAGUUCAUAUCGACGGCGGUGUUUGGCACCUCGAUGUCGGCUCAUCUCAUCCUGGGGCUGUAGCCGGUCCCAAGGGUAUGGCUGUUCGCCAUUUAAAGAGGUACGUGAGCUGGGUUUAAAACGUCGUGAGACAGUUUUGUCCCUAUCUGCCGUGGGCGCUGGAAGAUUGACGGGGGCUGCUCCUAGUACGAGAGGACCGGAGUGGACUCACCUCUGGUGUACCGGUUGUCACGCCAGUGGCAUCGCCGGGUAGCUAUGUGGGGAAGAGAUAACCGCUGAAAGCAUCUAAGCGGGAAACUUGCCUGAAGAUAAGUCUUCCUGGAGGCUAGACCUCCCUAAAGAGUCGUUCGAGACCAGGACGUUGAUAGGAUGGGUGUGUAAGUGCUGUGAGGCACUCAGCUAACCAUUACUAAUUGCUCGUGAAGCUUGAUCCU